rnacentral:rRNA from 1 species
GGCCUWCCAUGGUGGUAACGGGUAACGGGGUGUUAGGGCACGACACCGGAGAGGGAGCCUGAGAAACGGCUACCACAUCCAAGGAUGGCAGCAGGCGCGCAAAUUACCCAAUCCCAACACGGGGAGGUAGUGACAAUAAAUAACAAUACGGGGUCCUUUCGGGUUUCGUAAUUGGAAUGAGUACAAUUUAAAUCUCUUAACGAGGAACAAUUGGAGGGCAAGUCUGGUGCCAGCAGCCGCGGUAAUUCCAGCUCCAAUAGCGUAUAUUAAAGUUGUUGCAGUUAAAAAGCUCGUAGUUGAAUUUCGGGAUUAGUACGUCGGUCGUGCCUUAGGUACGUACUGGUGUUACUGGUUCCUACCUUCUGACGAACCAUCAUGUCAUUAAUUUGGUGUGGUGGGGAAUCAGGACUGUUACUUUGAAAAAAUUAGAGUGUUUAAAGCAGGCUCGCGCUUGAAUACAUUAGCAUGGAAUAAUGAAAUAGGACGUUGAUCCUAUUUUGUUGGUUUCUAGGAUUGACGUAAUGAUUAAUAGGGAUAGUUGGGGGCAUUAGUAUUCAAUUGUCAGAGGUGAAAUUCUUGGAUUUAUUGAAGACUAACUACUGCGAAAGCAUUUGCCAAGGAUGUUUUCAUUAAUCAAGAACGAAAGUUAGGGGAUCGAAGACGAUCAGAUACCGUCGUAGUCUUAACCAUAAACUAUGCCGACUAGGGAUCGGAUGAUGUUAUUUUUAAUGACUCAUUCGGCGCCUUACG